rnacentral:rRNA from 1 species
UACGAAGGGGGCUAGCGUUGCUCGGAAUCACUGGGCGUAAAGCGCACGUAGGCGGCUUUUUAAGUCAGAGGUGAAAUCCUGGAGCUCAACUCCAGAACUGCCUUUGAUACUGGCAAGCUAGAGUCCGGAAGAGGUAAGUGGAACUCCUAGUGUAGAGGUGGAAUUCGUAGAUAUUAGGAAGAACACCAGUGGCGAAGGCGGCUUACUGGUCCGGAACUGACGCUGAAGGUGCGAAAGCGUGGGGAG